UUAUCGCUCGAACUACUGCCAAGGUCUC
rnacentral:sRNA from 1 species